rnacentral:lncRNA from 1 species
GCUCGGUGCCCGGUGCCCGGUGCCCGGUGCCCGGUGCUUGCCGCCCGGAUGCGGGCUGGGGGCCUGGGGCGCUCGGACCGCGCGGCCGCCCAGGAGCGAGGAAGACAGGCCCACCUGUGCAUGCCUCCCGCCGCCUGGCCUGUUUUCGUGUCUCAGGCUGAAUUGCACCCACAUGGUGGUGGGUUCCCCGCCCCCACUGGGCUCGCAGCCCUCCAUGAACACCCACAGCCGUCUGCACCGAGCGCCUGCCGGCGGCCAUUACCCAGAAGUAGGGCUUUGGCGGCAGGGCUGGCUCCUGAGAAUCCGGCCCCAGCCUUCUCCGGUCCUGGCUGUCCCCAGGCCCUGGGCGUCCACCCAGUCCCUGACCUGCCACACAUCAGUGCGCUCUCUGCUUCCCACCCUUGUCAUGAGCGGGACCACAGUAAGCAAGAGCCACACAUCUGCAAAGCCCCUUUCCUAAACACGGUCACUCAGGUCCAGGUCUGCUAGCUUGGUGGACGGGGUCCUGGCCCCCCGAAACCCCUGCUCACCACACCCCAGCAUCCCCAAAGUGCCGUCUCACCUGAGUCAGGUGCAGAGCCCUGCUGUAGCCCCACUGUGCCUUCCCUGGGUCUCAGUGGCCUACGUCAGCCAAGGUCUGAAAGAAAUAAAUGGACAAUUCCAGAAACA